GUUGGUAGCUAUAGAAAGCCACGCCAACCAGUGGCGUGCCAUAAUCUGUGGCGGCAAAAAUCGGUGCUGAAGGUUUAGCGGCUGUGGCGAGAAAAACAACUACAGAAUCAGUGGAGAGUUGUGGUGUGCAAAAAAUAAGUAAUCAACCAAACACCUUCCUAAAUUAUAGGCGUGGCUAGUUGUGGUGGGAACCAAAUAUCCCCUAAGCAUAGAGUACAAUUACAUUUUCAUAUUAUAGUAGGCGCAAAAAUUGGUAGAUAAUUUUGGCUUUUCGUCCAUCACAAUUCCCCAUUUUACAUCGUAUAUCUCAAAGUACAUGUCUAUUUCUGUCCCCUCUCUUUUAGGGUUUAGCGAUGUUAUCUAUUCCCCCUAGAGUUGUCUUUGUUAAGAUGAUGCCCUAACGGUUAAUGAGCAGCUCUCUUGCCUGCUCUGUGAGAGGUAUUUUUAUGUUUUACUUUACUUGUCUUGUCAAUUAAGUUGUUCAAUACUGCAAAAGAAAUGGAAUAACUAAUAAAGUCUUUUUUCC
rnacentral:lncRNA from 1 species